rnacentral:misc_RNA from 1 species
GAUGAAAACGCAGCGAAAUGCGAUAAGUAGUGUGAAUUGCAGAAUUCAGUGAAUCAUCGAAUCUUUGAACGCACAUUGCGCCUCCUGGUAUUCCGGGAGGCAUGCCUGUUCGAGCGUCAUUAAAAUCACUCAAGCUUAGGUUUACCUAUUGCUUGGUCUUGGAGAUGGAAGCCAAUUUAUUGGAAUCCUCUUCGAAAUUCAAUGGCGAAGACCCUUGCUCUCCCAAGUGUAGUAAUAACUUAUGUCACUGAAGGAAGCGAGAAAUCUUCUGCCGUAACCCCCAUAUUUUCUAUGAUUGACCUCGGAUCAGGUAGGGAUACCCGCUGAACUUAAGCAUAUCAAUAAGCGGAGGA